UGUUGCUUGUAAAACCUGUCGCUAUGUUUUUAUGUACGACAGCCACAAAACUGAUCUGUCUGUAAAAACAGGGGUGUAGCUACCUUUCAGCUGGUGGCAUGAAAGGAAUAGACGGGUUGCAGGUUGGGGUCGGGUCCUGUAUUAGCGGGUCCUGGUCACAAAAAUCCGACCCACGCAGGACCACCACUAGCGUUUUCAAGCAAUACUGCAUCUGAGGGACCAAGAUCAAGCAAGGAGGUGGAGAUGCAUUGUCGCUGUGGGAAGUACACCACUCUCGUGCCCUGUCACAAGGAGUACCUGUGUGAAUCAAAAUGUCCUAAAACAAGAAACUGCCAGAGGCACCAGUGUAAAAGAAGGGAAUGCGCCGACAGGUCAUCACACAAGCCGAGAGAGACAUCACUGCCACUUUGGCACCUGCCCAUUGUGCAGACAGCCUUGCAGAGAGUGCUGAAGACAUGCUGACACGUCUGUCCAGCUCCAAGCCAUGAUGAAGUGAUGGUCAAACAGACUCUGAAAGUACAGAAACAGCAACACCAUUUUGUAUUUGGCAGCCAUGCUACAUUCUUGAUUUUUUUUUUUUUACAAGCUCACAGAAUCGACUGCAUAUCCUGGUUGUCUUUUGUCUCUUUUUUAGAUUCAUUCACCUCCUCAGUACAUUAUGUUUUUGACUUCUACUUAAUUAAUUCCA